rnacentral:rRNA from 1 species
UACGGGGGGGGCAAGCGUUGUUCGGAAUUACUGGGCGUAAAGGGUUCGUAGGUGGCUUGCUAAGUCAGACGUGAAAUCCCUCAGCUUAACUGGGGAACUGCGUCUGAGACUGGUGAGCUUGAGUGCAGGAGAGGAACGCGGAAUUCCAGGUGUAGCGGUGAAAUGCGUAGAGAUGUGGAGGAACACCAGUGGCGAAGGCGGCUUUCUGGUCUGUAACUGACGCUGGGGCGCGAAAGCGUGGGGAGCAAACAGG